UUUUUAUUGGAUGAUGAUUGUUAUGUGUCAUGUUCUGAUUGGAUGUCGAAUCCAUAAAAGAUGAAAUGCAUUGUUGUUGUCAUUGGUGAAAUAAAACAUGACACGUGGUCGUCAUUAUUU
rfam:Glycine max cultivar Williams 82 chromosome 16, whole genome shotgun sequence.